rnacentral:rRNA from 1 species
GACGAACGCUGGCGGCGUGCUUAACACAUGCAAGUCGAACGGGAUUUAGUAGACGGAAGCCUCGGUGGAAGAUUACUAAUGAGAGUGGCGAACGGGUGAGUAACGCGUGAGCAACCUGCCUAUGACAGUGGGAUAGCCUCGGGAAACCGGGAUUAAUACCGCAUAAAAUCGUAGAAACACAUGUUUUAACGGUCAAAGAUUUAUCGGUCAUAGAUGGGCUCGCGUCUGAUUAGCUAGUUGGUGAGAUAACAGCCCACCGAGGCGACGAUCAGUAGCCGGUCUGAGAGGAUGAACGGCCACAUUGGAACUGAGACACGGUCCAAACUCCUACGGGAGGCAGCAGUGGGGAAUAUUGCACAAUGGGGGAAACCCUGAUGCAGCGACGCCGCGUGAACGAAGAAGGUAUUCGUAUCGUAAAGUUCUGUCCUAUGGGAAGAUAAUGACAGUACCAUAGAAGAAAGCUCCGGCUAAAUACGUGCCAGCAGCCGCGGUAAUACGUAUGGAGCGAGCGUUGUCCGGAAUUAUUGGGCGUAAAGGGUACGCAGGCGGUUUAAUAAGUCGAAUGUUAAAGAUCGGGGCUCAACCCCGUAAAGCAUUGGAAACUGAUAAACUUGAGUAGUGGAGAGGAAAGUGGAAUUCCUAGUGUAGUGGUGAAAUACGUAGAUAUUAGGAGGAAUACCAGUAGCGAAGGCGACUUUCUGGACACAAACUGACGCUGAGGUACGAAAGCGUGGGGAGCAAACAGG